rnacentral:rRNA from 1 species
UACGUAGGGCGCAAGCGUUGUCCGGAAUUAUUGGGCGUAAAGAGCUCGUAGGCGGUUCGUCGCGUCGGCUGUGAAAACCCGGAGCUCAACUCCGGGCCUGCAGUCGAUACGGGCGGACUCGAGUUCGGCAGGGGAGACUGGAAUUCCUGGUGUAGCGGUGAAAUGCGCAGAUAUCAGGAGGAACACCGGUGGCGAAGGCGGGUCUCUGGGCCGUUACUGACGCUGAGGAGCGAAAGCGUGGGGAGCGAACAGG